rnacentral:rRNA from 1 species
UACGAAGGGGGCUAGCGUUGCUCGGAAUUACUGGGCGUAAAGGGCGCGUAGGCGGUUUCGUAAGUCCUGUGUGAAAUCCCCCGGCUCAACUGGGGAACUGCACAGGAAACUGCGAGGCUUGAGUUCGGGAGAGGGAAGCGGAAUUCCGGGUGUAGCGGUGAAAUGCGUAGAUAUCCGGAGGAACACCGGUGGCGAAGGCGGCUUCCUGGACCGACACUGACGCUGAGGCGCGAAAGCCAGGGGAGCAAACGGG